GCGCGGGGCGCACGCGUGAAGUUGCACCGCACGUGUAAGAGAAGAUUCUCCUUUUCAGAGCGGCCGGGAGCCCUGCUCGAGAGGGAGCGCACCCGGGUCGCCGCCGCGGCACAGCGGGGACUCCUGAUUUCCAUGCCUUUCCCAAACCUGUACCUCCUCUGCUCUCCCCAUCCUUCCUCCUGUUCGGGGUGGAAACCUUGGCCUCUCCUCGGCACUACCCGAUCCUUGACCCAUCAGCACAUCACGCUGGACUGACCUUCAGAGUCUGUGCAAACUCAGCCAUUUGUCACCACUGUCACGUUUCUGGAUCAUAGCACAGCCUCCUCACUGGACCCUCCAUGAUCACCCUCACCCCCUCCGCCCCACAGCCGUUCUCGGCACAGCAACCACAAGGGUCCUGUGAAGAUGGAAGCCGGAUUACGUCACUCUUCUGCUCAAACCCUCCAGUGCCCUCUCGUCUCACUUGGAGCAUAAGCCAAAGUUCUCAUCACUGUCUGCCUCGAUCUGUCCACCUCCAGACUUCCUCCCUGACCUGUGUCUACCUGUCUGCUCCUCUGGACUCGUCCUCUGCCUGGACUCGUCCCUCAUAUCUGAGGCCCAGUUCUUCACUGUGAUGUCACCCUCACAGCACAGCCCCUGAACUGCCCUCUGUGCUUCCCCCUGCCCCGCCGCAGCUCCCCGUCUACCCACAGCACGCAGCACCUGACCUCUCUUCUCUUCUGUCCCACAUCUUUCCCGCCACAGCCUACGUGGCACCAGGCAGUGAUGACCGCCUGCUCGACCCCGCCGAGAAGAGCCUUGUCAUCACCGCGGAGGAUGCUCGUCCUGCGUCUGCCCUCACAGCACCCCCUCCCGUCCUUUUGCCCCGUCCUGCUGCUGGGCAGCCUGACCCUCCCCCCCUCCUCCUGUCCCUGUGACUCCGCCUCUCUGAUGCCAAGCACCCACAGCCUUCCCUAUCUUGAAAACACCUCCACUGGGCCUUGUUACCCAUCUCGUGUCGCCCUUCCUUUAGGUUCUAGACCUACCGAACAGGACUCUCUGUGUCAUGCCUCCAUUUCCCUCCCACACUCUGCCUCUUCAGCUCCCAGUCUAGGCUUUUGUUUCUGCCCCAACGCUCCCACUAGACUGGGCACUUAAAGACCAUCAGUGGCCUUCUUAUUGUGAGAUCAAAGCCUUUGCUUUAUGCCCAUCCUUCUCGAACACACAAAGAAUGCUGACACCGGUCGUCACCUCCUUCUUCAAAGUCCUCCUUCGGCCUCCUCGCUUCCGUGUCACCCUCGUUCUCCGGUCGUGUUGACAGCGGUCAGAGAAUGUGCCUUCGGAGACACGAACGGCGCUCCAGCAGUGACGUGGGCCGUGCUCGUACUGACGCCCAGCGUGAUCUUGCAUCUCAGAAGCUCAGACAGGGCUCUGCGUUGGGGUCAAUUCGGUAAAGAAGGAAGGGUCUUCUGACAUUACUUUGAAAGCAAAGGCAACUACAAGCCAGACAAGGUGAACGUGUCUGGCAGAGCUGAUCGGGCCCCCGCUGGGGAAGGCCCCUUCCCUCCACACUGUCCGGGCAUCGCCGCUCUCCGUCACUGCUCAGUCUCAGGCUCUCACCCAGUUGGCCAGUCCCGCCAUCCUUCGUCGAACACGGACCGCACACGCCGAGGGCGAACCUGUGGCCCAGAGUUGAGCACAAGACGGUCACUGAAUAGAUAGCCACUGAUGGAUCCCAAGGGACACUUAACACUUCCUGAAGGCCGAGGGGAGCCUGUGUACCUCUGAAAGGGAAAGUAGAAUGGUCAGAAGAACGGGGAAGCAGCCACGUAUACACUCAGCAGCAUCAGCUCUUGUUCUGUGUUGGUGUCAGAACCAAAGUUCCCCUUGAGAUAAAAGCAAAAAUCGAUUAAACACCACUUCGUGCAGGUAACUGACGUCCAGGGACUCGAGGACCCCGCUGCCGCUAUGGGAGAGCAGUCGCCUAGAGUGCACCACACUCUGCGGUGAGCUCACGGGCACCUCGCGGAGUUAAGCGCUCGGCCCUGGGAGCUGUCGGGAGCUGCUCUGCUUGCGUCCUGAAGUGGCCCAACGCCGACAAUGAGAAUAAACCUGUUUUCUGCUCAAGCAGGAAGCUAUUUCACUCGCUCACUCGUGUUCGUGUCACUGGCUGGCAAUGCUCAGUGGAUCGUGAGGCUUCCUCUGGUCCGUUGCUGGUCCUUACUUAGCAGCAGAGGCUUGCUGUUCAGACUGCGCUUCUUCACUCCUCUGCCGUCGUCUUCUUACUGAACUGGUAUGAGGGGUAGGAUCCAAAAGUGGUGUUGAUAAAACACCUUAAGAACGUCUGCGUGGCAUCUGGAGCGGACUGGGGCGACUCUGAAGAGAGGGGAUGUCACUUCUACCAUGGAGUCUCCCGUCUUGAUCUGACCUUGACCCAUACUGCAGGCCUUGUCAUAGAUACUCUUCUGGUUAAUGUUUUUAUUCACUCGUGCAUGUAUUUUCCGGAAGAAAACCCAAACUGUGAAGCGUGGUAGUGAUAAGACUCGGCAGCGAACAUCAGGAUACAAAGAGGCCGGCCCUUGCGUUGGGGGAACUCGGCAGACUGCCGUGGCGGGAGAAUCCAGUUUAAGCUGUGUGUCAUCAGUGACAGCCAUUGUCAGGAUCUGUGAUGCAUCUCAGAGACCCCAGGGUCAGUCUCCAAUCUGACAUUGGGCUAUGUCCCAUGUAUCAAUUUGUCUUUUGAGCGCUUACCAGGGACAUGAUUAAAGAGGUCGAAGGAGUAGACACCUUAAUGAAAAAACAAUGAACAAAGAAUCAGGUUUUUUCAAAAACUACAACUUUGAAACAUGAGUCACGGUCAUUAAUCCUUUAUGACCAUAAAUGUAAUAAGUUGUUACAGAAAAUGCAAAGCAAUGGGAAAAGAGAAUAAAAAUCACCCAGUUCUA